rnacentral:ncRNA from 1 species
AAGAUUACCCCUUCUACCUUUUGCAUAAUGGUUUAACCAGAAAAAAUCUAACAAAGAGAACUUUAGCUAGAUACCCCGAAACCAGACGAGCUACCUAUGAGCAGUUUAAAAGAACCAACUCAUCUAUGUGGCAAAAUAGUGAGAAGACUUGUAGGUAGAGGUGAAAAGCCUAACGAGCCUGGUGAUAGCUGGUUGUCCGAGAAAGAAUUUUAGUUCAACCUUAAAAAUACCCCAAAAACCCUAAAUUCCAAUGUAUUUUUAAGAGAUAGUCUAAAAAGGUACAGCUUUUUAGAAACGGAUACAACCUUGACUAGAGAGUAAAAUCUUAAUACUACCAUAGUAGGCCUAAAAGCAGCCAUCAAUUGAGAAAGCGUUAAAGCUCAACAAAUUCACCAACAUAAUCCCAAAAACUAAUAACAAACUCCUAGCCCAAUACCGGACUAAUCUAUUGAAACAUAGAAGCAAUAAUGUUAAU